rnacentral:rRNA from 1 species
UAGGGAAUCUUCCGCAAUGGACGCAAGUCUGACGGAGCAACGCCGCGUGAGUGAAGAAGGAUUUCGGUUCGUAAAACUCUGUUGUUAGAGAAGAACAGCGCAUAGAGUAACUGUUAUGCGUGUGACGGUAUCUAACCAGAAAGCCACGGCUAACUACGUGCCAGCAGCCGCGGUAAUACGUAGGUGGCAAGCGUUGUCCGGAUUUAUUGGGCGUAAAGCGAGCGCAGGCGGUCAAUUAAGUCUGAUGUGAAAGCCCCCGGCUCAACCGGGGAGGGUCAUUGGAAACUGGUUGACUUGAGUGCAGAAGAGGAGAGUGGAAUUCCAUGUGUAACAGUGAAAUGCGUAGAUAUAUGGAGGAACACCAGUGGCGAAGGCGACUCUCUGGUCUGUAACUGACGCUGAGGCUCGAAAGCGUGGGUAGCAAACAGG